rnacentral:rRNA from 1 species
AGUGAACGCUGGCGGUAGGCCUAACACAUGCAAGUCGAACGGCAGCACAGUAAGAGCUUGCUCUUACGGGUGGCGAGUGGCGGACGGGUGGGGAAUACAUCGGAAUCUACUUUUUCGUGGGGGAUAACGUAGGGAAACUUACGCUAAUACCGCAUACGACCUACGGGUGAAAGCAGGGGAUCUUCGGACCUUGCGCGAUUGAAUGAGCCGAUGUCGGAUUAGCUAGUUGGCGGGGUAAAGGCCCACCAAGGCGACGAUCCGUAGCUGGUCUGAGAGGAUGAUCAGCCACACUGGAACUGAGACACGGUCCAGACUCCUACGGGAGGCAGCAGUGGGGAAUAUUGGACAAUGGGCGCAAGCCUGAUCCAGCCAUACCGCGUGGGUGAAGAAGGCCUUCGGGUUGUAAAGCCCUCUUGUUGGGAAAGAAAAGCAGCAGGUUAAUACCCCGCUGUUCUGACGGUACCCAAAGAAUAAGCACCGGCUAACUUCGUG